UUACAGAAUUGUGUGACAGGUUG
rnacentral:miRNA from 2 species